CAGUGUUUGAUGUCCAAGGUGCUCGUUCUCUUAGCUUUUCAGAGUAUUAGGACUACAACUCCCAGAAUGCAAUUGGCUCAGCAGAGGACGUGACCUCGAGGGUGAGCCACAUGACUAUGUCUAGCCCUCGCACGGGGAAGUUUGGUGCCUGCAGCCUCUUAAAGGUGCAGGUGCUGUUACAGCGUGGCCGUGUCCUGGGCGCUGGGCAUUGUCACGAGGGGACCAAGCGUGCCUGUGCCCCCACUCCACACCGUGCCGGAGCACAGGGCAAUGAUGAAACAUGCAGAGCAUGAUACAGAGGAGAGUGACGCUGUGCGGGGAGCAGAUCGACAAUGGGAAUGCAACGUUGCCUGGCAGGAUGAUGGAGGGGACAGGGAAAGCAUCUGUGAAAGCUUCCGGCUCCUGCAGAUUGACACGGGCUGUGACAGCCCAAAGGACCUUCCCGUGGGGAGUGAGAAGUGGUACUCGGUACGUACAGUAUAAGGGUUCCUUUGGUAAAUUCAUGACAGAGCUAGAUGUAAACAAGAACUGUCACUCAGGAGCAAUCUUGGAAAAAGAAAAUAUUUGUAGAGGCUUGAUCUUGCAGCCUGGAAGUCAAAGGAAUGUUUUGAGGAAACAGAGGCAUUGGGAGAAAAUAGUUACGGCAAAGAAGAAGAAGAGAAAACAGGAAAAAGAGAGGAGAAAAGCUAAACAUGCUGAAGAUAAAGGUGCUGCUCACCAGCAUAGCAAACGUAUUUUAAAAGAGAUCGCCAAGGAGCGGCUUCUGGCGGCCAAAGAGGCAGCUCCUUGGCUGUGUGUAGAUCUGAGUCUGACCAGCCACAUGACUAAGAAGGAAAUAAGUCGCCUUGCUGCUCAGAUAAGGAGGCUAUAUGGUUCCAACAAGAAAGCUGGAAAGCCGUUUUGGAUUUGCCUUACUGGAUUUGUGGCAGGCAGUCCUAUUUCUGAAGAGUGCUUCCGAAUGAAUGAUGGGUUUUCCAAUUACCUCAUGGAUACCACUCCGGAAAGUUACCUUGACCUAUUUCCUUCAGAGACAAUUAUCUACCUCACUCCUGACUCAGAGAAUGUAUGGCCACAUGUCCGCUCUGUUUCCUUUCUAGCUCUGCAGGACAUUGACCCCCACAGAGUGUAUGUCCUCGGUGGGCUCGUGGAUGAAAGCAUUCAGAAGGUGAGUGCUCGGUGGAAGCUGCACCAAACACUUGGCACGUUCAGCCAGCACUAGUGGAGCCUCUGGUAGGAAAUGAUGCCGACAGUCGUGCAGUUUUCUCCUCUUCACUAGCAGUGCGAUCAGGUUAUUGCAAACUAUUCCUAACGGAUGGUCACACAACUAUGUCGUGAAUAUAAGUUUGGUGACUUCCAACCCUGCCAUCUCUCCUGAUCUCUGAGACCCCCUCCUGAGUUGGAUGCUCUAGCAUGGACCCCUGCACCGCAAAGAGUCCAAGUGGGGAACGGCGCCAUCCCUCUGUGGGUUUGGUGCCACACAUGUCCCAAUUACCAGAAGGCAGAUAAGUCAAUGUGUUAGAAAGCCAUUGGCUCGCAGUGUUAAUCAAAGUGUUUCAAGUGUGUGAUGCUGUAAGUUCCAUAGCAUCUGGCACCAGACCCAAGUAGAUGUCUCACCUUGUGCCCUGGAGAUUGUUAGACGUGGUGCCUUCCAAGGGGCGUGGAGUCCAUAGGCAGGGAAAGCAUUGCUGCUGUCCUGGAGGCGCUAAACCCAGGUUCUGACAGCAUGUGUCCCCCAGCUGAGGGGCACUCUUGGGCCAGGGUCUGGGUGACAGAUACUCGGGGUGUAGGCGACAGGCAAGCUCUUGACUAAGCAAGGCCCAGACAAGUCACAAUUUAAAGUGACAGUCAUCAGUGAGGCCCAUGCCCUCAGAGUAUGGAGGCACUUAACUCCCAUUGAAGGCUGUGGGCAUUAGGGACUUAACUAUUUUUGAGGGCCAAGCCCUGUGUAGAGUGCAUGGAGCAGUCUAGCCUGGAGGCGACAAACACGCAGAUGCAGGAGCCAUGCUUGGGAGGAACGUCUACAGGCUCCUGGCCUGUGGUAGAUGGUGACAGGAACUGCCAGCUACUGCUGCUGUCUGGGAAUCCAGGAGCAACGAGGGAUUCCCUUGGAUCAUGUGUCAGUGGAAAAUACACCAUCACUAGCUGGUGCAGACAUCCGCACUGUCCAUUCCUCCUAUUGCUGACAAGCAGCACUUCUGGCCUACUGCCUUCCUUUCCUGUCUGCGAGGCCACUGGGAGUGCCAGGAGGCUGCCGAUUCCAGGGGGACCGAGAAACUGACCUUGCAGAAGGCACAGGAGCACUCCUUGCAGACGGCUCGGCUGCCCAUUGCAGAGUACAUGGUGAGGAACACCAACGUGAAGAACUAUCAUUCAGAGACGUUAGCAAUCAAUCAAGUCUUUGAUGCCUUAUCA